rnacentral:rRNA from 1 species
GAUGAACGCUGGCGGCGUGCCUAAUACAUGCAAGUCGAGCGAACAGACGAGGAGCUUGCUCCUCUGACGUUAGCGGCGGACGGGUGAGUAACACGUGGAUAACCUACCUAUAAGACUGGGAUAACUUCGGGAAACCGGAGCUAAUACCGGAUAAUAUAUUGAACCGCAUGGUUCAAUAGUGAAAGACGGUUUUGCUGUCACUUAUAGAUGGAUCCUCGCCGCAUUAGCUAGUUGGUAAGGUAACGGCUUACCAAGGCAACGAUGCGUAGCCGACCUGAGAGGGUGAUCGGCCACACUGGAACUGAGACUCGGUCCAGACUCCUACGGGAGGCAGCAGUAGGGAAUCUUCCGCAAUGGGCGAAAGCCUGACGGAGCAACGCCGCGUGAGUGAUGAAGGUCUUCGGAUCGUAAAACUAUGUUAUUAGGGAAGAACAAAUGUGUAAGUAACUAUGCACGUCUUGACGGUACCUAAUCAGAAAGCCACGGCUAACUACGUG